GAUGAACGCUGGCGGUGUGCUUAACACAUGCAAGUCGAACGAAGCACUUUAUUUGAUUUCCUUCGGGACUGAUUAUUUUGUGACUGAGUGGCGGACGGGUGAGUAACGCGUGGGUAACCUGCCUUGUACAGGGGGAUAACAGUUGGAAACGGCUGCUAAUACCGCAUAAGCGCCCGGCAUCGCAUGAUGUCGUGUGAAAAACUCCGGUGGUAUAAGAUGGACCCGCGUUGGAUUAGCUAGUUGGUGAGGUAACGGCCCACCAAGGCGACGAUCCAUAGCCGACCUGAGAGGGUGACCGGCCACAUUGGGACUGAGACACGGCCCAAACUCCUACGGGAGGCAGCAGUGGGGAAUAGUGCACAAUGGGCGAAAGCCUGAUGCAGCGACGCCGCGUGAGCGAAGAAGUAUUUCGGUAUGUAAAGCUCUAUCAGCAGGGAAGAUAAUGACGGUACCUGACUAAGAAGCACCGGCUAAAUACGUG
rnacentral:rRNA from 1 species